CUGAUGAAGGAUUGUGUGUUAGACUGUAACCUCAGGACACUCACCUGGGUGGGAUUGUACAGUUCCUGUAGAGGACUUCUCGACCCCUUCCGACAACAAAUGUCCAUUCCAA